AUCUUUGUGACAUGGUUGACUGAAAGAACCUAGUGGGGAAACCCCCACUCAACUCCCGAUUCUGCGUGCACCCAAGAAUCACGAACAGAACA
rnacentral:pre_miRNA from 7 species